AGAGUUUGAUCAUGGCUCAGGAUGAACGCUGGCGGCGUGCCUAAUACAUGCAAGUCGAACGGGGUCGUAAGACCUAGUGGCGACCGGGUGCGUAACACGUACUUGACCUGCCCUCGAGCGGGGGACAACUCCGGGAAACUGGAGCUAAUACCGCAUGACGUUGCUCUGACUAAACAGGGGUAACUAAACUUACGGGGCUUGCGGAGGGGAGUGCGGCCCAUCAGCUAGUUGGUGCGGUAACGGCGUACCAAGGCGACGACGGGUAGGGGUCCGGAGAGGGAGACCCCCCACACUGGAACUGACACACGGUCCAGACUCCUACGGGAGGCAGCAGCAAGGGAUUUUCCCCAAGGGGCGCAAGCCUGAGGGAGCAACGCCGCGGGGGGGACGACGGCCUUCGGGUUGUAAACCCCUUUUGGCAGGGAAGAAACAAAUGACGGUACCUGCCGAAUAAGCCACGGCUAACUCCGUGCCAGCAGCCGCGGUAAUUC
rnacentral:rRNA from 1 species